GAUGAACGCUAGCUACAGGCCUAACACAUGCAAGUCGUGGGGCAGCGGGUAUGUUUGUUUUCAAGCAUAUGCCGGCGACCGGCGCACGGGUGAGUAACGCGUAUCCAACCUGCCCAUCACAAGGGAAUAACCCGUCGAAAGUCGGCCUAAUGCCCUAUGUGUUCCGAUGAAGUCCUCUGAAUCGGAAUAAAGCAUUUGCGGUGAUGGAUGGGGAUGCGUCUGAUUAGCUUGUCGGCGGGGUAACGGCCCACCGAGGCGACGAUCAGUAGGGGUUCUGAGAGGAAGGUCCCCCACAUUGGAACUGAGACACGGUCCAAACUCCUACGGGAGGCAGCAGUGAGGAAUAUUGGUCAAUGGGCGUGAGCCUGAACCAGCCAAGUAGCGUGCAGGAUGACGGCCCUAUGGGUUGUAAACUGCUUUUAUACGGGGAUAAAGGGUGAACGUGUUCUCCUUUGCAGGUACCGUAUGAAUAAGGACCGGCUAA
rnacentral:rRNA from 1 species